rnacentral:lncRNA from 1 species
UGGGGAUUUGCGGCGUGGCAUGAGACACGGAGUGGGAGUCACGGCGAUGCCCGUGAAAUUAGGACUCGGAUUGCUCUCUCCUCUCUCUAUAUUUAGGUCUGAUGAUUUAAUUUCAAUACUUAGAAUCAGUGGCGGAGCCAGGAUUUUAUAGCUGGGUAUUCCACGUAUAAAUUUUUUUUGCAUAUGUGCAAUAGUAAAAGUGACAAAAUCAAUACAAAAUUGAUUCUGGUGCACAACUCAAGUAGUAUAUAUAGUUUUCUUAAAAUAUAUGCUAGGUAAAAUAUUUGUUUAUCCUGGUAACAAGGCAUCAGAUAAAGUGAGACUAGUGUCGCCUCUAGUAAUAAUCAAAGUAUAUAUAAAUUCUUUAUCUAUAUUACAAAAACACAAUGCAAUAUUUUUUUAAAAAAAUCAGAAUUAAUGCAACAAAAAAAAAAGAAGAAAACGAAACCUUCAAUUCUUACUUUGAAGAAUAAAAAAUAGAUGCGGGAUCUUUGUGUUCACCUUGUUGUUGCUUCAAGCCAUAUAUGAGAAAGGUCGUAUAUGAGAAAGACGUUGAGGGGGAGCCGUAUAUGAGAAAGUCUACAAAGACCACUGACCGCCG